rnacentral:lncRNA from 1 species
GGGUCGGAGGCAUGACAAUUAAAGUGGUAUCAGAGUAUAAGUGGAUAAACUAUAUGACAUAUAGAAUCAGAUAUGAGUGUAGGUGUGUAGACACUAGGGAUAUUGGGAUAAUGACUUAUACUGAUCAUAAUAUAAUUUAGAAACUUAAAUUGACAUACGUGUACUAGUGGACUGAAUCAGAGUGCACAACGAAAGCAUAGUGGUCUG